UAUGGCCAUAUCACCCUGAAUACACCCAUCUCAUCUAAUCUUGGAAGCUAAGUAGGGUUGGGCCUAGUUAGUACUUGGAUGGGAGAAAAGUUUAAAAUUGGUCAAAAUUAUUC
ensembl:rRNA 5S_rRNA 5S ribosomal RNA